rnacentral:rRNA from 1 species
CGUCAGACGAACGCUGGCGGCGUGCCUAAUACAUGCAAGUCGAGCGAAUCUUUAGGAGCUUGCUCCUAAUGGUUAGCGGCGGACGGGUGAGUAACACGUGGGCAACCUGCCUGUAAGACUGGGAUAACUUCGGGAAACCGGAGCUAAUACCGGAUAAUCCUUUUCCUCUCAUGAGGGGAAGCUGAAAGACGGUUUCGGCUGUCACUUACAGAUGGGCCCGCGGCGCAUUAGCUAGUUGGUGAGGUAACGGCUCACCAAGGCGACGAUGCGUAGCCGACCUGAGAGGGUGAUCGGCCACACUGGGACUGAGACACGGCCCAGACUCCUACGGGAGGCAGCAGUAGGGAAUCUUCCACAAUGGACGAAAGUCUGAUGGAGCAACGCCGCGUGAGCGAUGAAGGCCUUCGGGUCGUAAAGCUCUGUUGUUAGGGAAGAACAAGUACCGGAGUAACUGCCGGUACCUUGACGGUACCUAACCAGAAAGCCACGGCUAACUACGUGCCAGCAGCCGCGGUAAUACGUAGGUGGCAAGCGUUGUCCGGAAUUAUUGGGCGUAAAGCGCGCGCAGGCGGUCCUUUAAGUCUGAUGUGAAAGCCCACGGCUCAACCGUGGAGGGUCAUUGGAAACUGAGGGACUUGAGUACAGAAGAGGAAAGCGGAAUUCCACGUGUAGCGGUGAAAUGCGUAGAGAUGUGGAGGAACACCAGUGGCGAAGGCGGCUUUCUGGUCUGUAACUGACGCUGAGGCGCGAAAGCGUGGGGAGCAAACAGGAUUAGAUACCCUGGUAGUCCACGCCGUAAACGAUGAGUGCUAAGUGUUAGGGGGUUUCCGCCCCUUAGUGCUGCAGCUAACGCAUAAGCACUCCGCC